rnacentral:rRNA from 1 species
CGAAUGCUGACAUAAGUAACGAUAAAGCGGGUGAAAAGCCCGCUCGCCGGAAGACCAAGGGUUCCUGUCCAACGUUAAUCGGGGCAGGGUGAGUCGACCCCUAAGGCGAGGCCGAAAGGCGUAGUCGAUGGGAAACAGGUUAAUAUUCCUGUACUUGGUGUUACUGCGAAGGGGGGACGGAGAAGGCUAUGUUGGCCGGGCGACGGUUGUCCCGGUUUAAGCGUGUAGGCUGGUUUUCCAGGCAAAUCCGGAAAAUCAAGGCUGAGGCGUGAUGACGAGGCACUACGGUGCUGAAGCAACAAAUGCCCUGCUUCCAGGAAAAGCCUCUAAGCAUCAGGUAACAUCAAAUCGUACCCCAAACCGACACAGGUGGUCAGGUAGAGAAUACCAAGGCGCUUGAGAGAACUCGGGUGAAGGAACUAGGCAAAAUGGUGCCGUAACUUCGGGAGAAGGCACGCUGAUAUGUAGGUGAAGUCCCUUGCGGAUGGAGCUGAAAUCAGUCGAAGAUACCAGCUGGCUGCAACUGUUUAUUAAAAACACAGCACUGUGCAAACACGAAAGUGGACGUAUACGGUGUGACGCCUGCCCGGUGCCGGAAGGUUAAUUGAUGGGGUUAGCGGUAACGCGAAGCUCUUGAUCGAAGCCCCGGUAAACGGCGGCCGUAACUAUAACGGUCCUAAGGUAGCGAAAUUCCUUGUCGGGUAAGUUCCGACCUGCACGAAUGGCGUAAUGAUGGCCAGGCUGUCUCCACCCGAGACUCAGUGAAAUUGAACUCGCUGUGAAGAUGCAGUGUACCCGCGGCAAGACGGAAAGACCCCGUGAACCUUUACUAUAGCUUGACACUGAACAUUGAGCCUUGAUGUGUAGGAUAGGUGGGAGGCUUUGAAGUGUGGACGCCAGUCUGCAUGGAGCCGACCUUGAAAUACCACCCUUUAAUGUUUGAUGUUCUAACGUUGACCCGUAAUCCGGGUUGCGGACAGUGUCUGGUGGGUAGUUUGACUGGGGCGGUCUCCUCCUAAAGAGUAACGGAGGAGCACGAAGGUUGGCUAAUCCUGGUCGGACAUCAGGAGGUUAGUGCAAUGGCAUAAGCCAGCUUGACUGCGAGCGUGACGGCGCGAGCAGGUGCGAAAGCAGGUCAUAGUGAUCCGGUGGUUCUGAAUGGAAGGGCCAUCGCUCAACGGAUAAAAGGUACUCCGGGGAUAACAGGCUGAUACCGCCCAAGAGUUCAUAUCGACGGCGGUGUUUGGCACCUCGAUGUCGGCUCAUCACAUCCUGGGGCUGAAGUAGGUCCCAAGGGUAUGGCUGUUCGCCAUUUAAAGUGGUACGCGAGCUGGGUUUAGAACGUCGUGAGACAGUUCGGUCCCUAUCUGCCGUGGGCGCUGGAGAACUGAGGGGGGCUGCUCCUAGUACGAGAGGACCGGAGUGGACGCAUCACUGGUGUUCGGGUUGUCAUGCCAAUGGCACUGCCCGGUAGCUAAAUGCGGAAGAGAUAAGUGCUGAAAGCAUCUAAGCACGAAACUUGCCCCGAGAUGAGUUCUCCCUGACUCCUUGAGAGUCCUGAAGGAACGUUGAAGACGACGACGUUGAUAGGCCGGGUGUGUAAGCGCAGCGAUGCGUUGAGCUAACCGGUACUAAUGAACCGUGAGG